rnacentral:misc_RNA from 1 species
GCUGCACCUGGGGGCGGUGCCACUGGCCCAUCGUGGUCUAGUUCAGCCAGACAAAUCAACUAUGGCAUCCCUCCUGAGAUGGGCAUGUUUGUUGUUAGCCCUGCUUCCUUUAAUCACCACCACCAGCAUCAGCACCAGCAUGAGUCGACCAUUAAUCUAGCCACUGAUCCCAUCAAUGGCCCAAAUGCUACUGCUACUGCGCUUGGUGUUGGUGUGGGUGUAGGCGUUAUCCCACUUCUCACGGCCGCUCCAUGCCUUCCGCCGCAAAACAUGGAUGAUCAAGAUUUGUUGAAUAAUGGGCGCAACAAAAUUAGUGGAAUCCAGUUCUGGCAACCCCAGUCAUCUCAUCACCACAACCAGUCUAAUAUAAGGAAAACUACUGCUUCGAUUCUCGAUCACGAUAAUUCUUCCGCGAAUCUGCUUCAAAGCGGUAACAAUACCAGUGCCGUUGCUGGUAUUGGUGGUAAUUCAGCUUCAUCUGGGGCAACAACGUGCCAAGACUGUGGAAACCAGGCCAAGAAAGAUUGCAGCCAUAGGAGGUGCAGGACGUGCUG